rnacentral:snRNA from 1 species
AAGAAUGAGGAUGAAUCUGGUUGUGACACUAAUCACCCUGCUGAUUGUCAGGGUAUAUUUGUGUGAUCUGGCUGUUUUGUUUUAUGCUCCCCUCCUCCAUCAUUGCUUUCUGUUUCCUCCUCCCAAUAAAGCUGUGUAAUCGGUUGAAGAGAAUGACCUUUCCUGAUCGGAGUUGACUGUCCUGUGAUUAAGGAGAUCUUAGUAGGCACACUUCCCUGAUAGAACCUCCAAACAAACUGUCAAGGUGCAUUUAAAAAUGUCCGUAAGCCAGUCGAGUUAGGAAUGCAACAAAUAACUGAAACAAGUACUG